rnacentral:lncRNA from 1 species
GAAUGAGAGGGGUCACUAAUAUCUCUAUGACGAACCUGUUUAAUCCAUACAGGUACACUUCCAUGCCAAACAAUGGUCUCGGAAUGCCUUCUUUGAUUCGUCCCUAGGCGCCGGUUUCAAGGGUACUACCGGUAGUUUUCUCCACAGCACCCACCUUCACUACACCACAACCAAACAUACCUAGGCUGUACACCGAGCCUCUAACCUUCACUUUCCUGGGUCCAUACAUUCCACCAAAAGUCACAUAUGUCGCCCCAGAUUCAUUCACUCAACCUUUUCAAUAAGACUUUACAAUUUAUCAAGAAAACGUUGUCAAGAAUCCCGAGCAGAAAGAAAUGCCUCGGAAAAUGAAGAGUCUCGGGCAAAGCUUAAAGAAUAUGCAAGGCCUAACCAGCCUGAAGAGUGUAUCUUAUUCUGAUCUAUUUAUGUCCCCUCAUGUACAUUUGCCAGCUGGUUUUAAAACCCCGACUUUGAAAAGUAUGACAGGCACGGAGACUCGAUCGCUCACCUGAAAUGGUGUUGUAACUAGUUUAGGAGCUCUGGCUGGAAAGAAGAGCUACUGAUGGCCCACUUCGGAGAAAGCCUCACCUGAAUAGCUUUUGAAUGGUAUAUGGAUCAGGAAACUAUCCCAUUUGGCACGCAUGGGAUGAUUUAGCUCGGGAUUUCGUUCGCCAGUUCCAAUACAAUGUGGACAUUGCGCCUAGCAGAAACUCCUUGUCUAACUUAAAGAAGAAACCCACAGAAGUUUCCGUGAAUACGAAAUCAACUGCAGAGAGUAGGCCGCAAGGGUAAAGCCUCUGAUGGAUGGGGCCGAGAUAAUUACAAUGUUUUUACAAGCCUAAGAACCAGAUCAUUUCCAAAAUAUGAUGUCGUCCAUGGGGAAGUCGUUUGCUGAGGCCAUCAAAAUCGGGGAGAUGGUAGAGAAUGGUUAAACAACAGGUAGAAUCUUGAGUCAGGCCGCCCUCAAAGCCAUAUCACAGGCUAUUCAGAACGGCUCGGGAGGUAUGGAAAGCAUAAAGAAGAGAGAAGAUGGAGCCAUAAUGGCUUCGAGUUCGAGGGGGCCUCAAAGAUUUUUUAACCAAUCAUAUAUGCCUCCCAGAACCCCACAACAUUACUACCCUCAUCAUGAUGUUGUUUAUGUUGUGGCACCGCCCUAUUAUGUGGUGAUGAACGCGCAGCCCUAUACACGAUAAAAUAUUACCCACCAAACAAAGAUCCACCUCCCAGAAAUGAAUGCCCCUACCAAGAUCCAUAUAAUCCUCGUCCUCAAAAUAAUGUACCCCAAUACAACCCCGUCCAAGGGAGCCCCCCCAGGAGAAACCAGUUCAUCCCUAUUGGUAAAUCAUACUCAAGUCUAUUACAGAAGCUGAUCGGGUUGGGUCUGUUACAACCCGUGGCUCUGAAUUGGCCAAAUCUCGAGUCCUUUCAUACUUGGCCGAUGCUAGAUGCGAGAAUCAUAUGGGGUGGUGGGCUAUGACACAAAAGACUGUUGGACCCUCAAGAGGGUAGUACAGGAUCUGAUUGAGGCCAAAAGAAUAGUUCUUAGGGAAGAAGAUGCCCUAAUUUAACUAACAACCCAUUGCCCGCUCACAAAAAUGGGCAACUCAUUGGGAUAAUCUGUUAUGAUCGAAAGUUUAACCUAGUGCUGAAAGCCAUUGUCGCCAUCGCUACAUCUGAGGUGAAACCUAAAGCAGCCACAAAUCAUGAAAAGAAGGAAACUCCGGUCCCUCGGGACAUUGAAACCAUAAUUGAUCCUGCUCCGGUAAAGAAAUUGGUUCUCUAUGUCCCAAAAACGUCAGGGAAAGAGCAUCUUUUCCUGAAUAUCCCAAAGAAAGUUGAUGAGAGAAAUCUUACACUAAACGUACCCAAGUUGUAUGUACCAAGAGGACCACCGCAGGUGGCGCGGGGGCCGAGAAUGCCACCAAGGCUGACUGAGCCUGUGGUUAUCAGCCCCGCACCACAAAGUCAAGUGAAAGAUACUAAGGUAGUCCUCUAGAACCACAAUAAAAUUGUUGGUACUUAAAAGGGAAAAGAAAUUGCGGGAGAGGUUAAUGAAAUGACCAGUCUGGGAGGUACUAUACCCCAGACGAGUUAAGAAAAGCCAAGCAAAAUUGGGAUAAUCAAAUGCUGUCAAAGAAACCUAUUAGCAAUGAAAAAACUAAAAAGUUCUUCAAGAAAAUGGAAGCUCCGGAGUAUUCAAUAGUCGAUCAACUCCGAAAUACCCCCUCGCAUAUAUCACUCUUGUCUUUGUUUUUGAGUUUGGACAAACACCGAAAGGUAUUUCUCAAGACUCUGAAUGAGGCUUACGUGCCAAAGGAGACGACUGUGGCACAAUUGGAGAGGAUGGUUCAAAGAUUAUUUGAAGUAAAUAAAAUAUCUUUUAGCAGUAGUGAAAUGCCCGCUGAGGGAGUAACACACAACAAAGCCCUUCAUUUGACUGUCAAGUGCGAAGGUUAUUAUAUGAAAAGGGUUACACUGGAGUGUGGCUUCGGAGUAGAUACUUUUCCUCUAUCAACACUCCAAAGAUUGGAAAUCGGUACGGAAUGGAUCCGUGCCAAUAAUGUCUAUGUUCGAGCUUUUGAUAUCAAGAGGUACACUAUUGGGGAAAUUGGUUUGGUGUUGACAAUCGGCCCAGUGGAUUUUGAAGUAACUUUUCAAGUGUUGGACGUGGAGACAUCUUACAAUUUUCUUCUCGACAGACCUUGGAUCCACACUACCGGAGCUAUUCCCUCUACGCUCUCAGGAAAUGGUUGUUCACGGAGAGGAUGAGCAAUUAAUUUAUUAGGACCCUUCAGUGCCAUGACUUGAAGAUAGAGAAGGUAGUGAACAUAUUGCCUACCAGGCCUUUGAAAUUGUGGUCGCUGACCAAUUUGAAUAGGGGAUACCGCUUCCUUAGCUUUGUCUAUCCAAUGCAUCAGUUAUGGUUGCCACUCAGAUGAUCAAAAAUGGGUACAAGCCCAGAAAAGCGCUGGGGCAUCUUUGCAGGGCGUCACUGAGCCCAUCUCCCAGUCAAGAAUGAGAAAACAUUCGGGUUAGGCUUCUUGCCCACGCCAGCUGAUAAGAAAUGGAUCAAGGAACACAAAGAAAAUGGAUGGGUCCUGUUAAAGCCCAUCCCAUAUCUCUCUCGGUCCUUCGUUAAAUCAAGGUAUGAUGAUGAAGAAGAAGAGCCCUUCAUGCUGCAGGAAAUAGAUGAGAUUUGUGGAGCUAUGAAAAGAAUGUUGUAUGAGUCAAACAUGGUCCAUCCUAGGGAAGGCACGAGCCGUGCCGAGGUGCAAUACAUGGGACCUGAUUUCAAGCUCAAGAAUUGGGAGGCUACCCCAUUCCCUAUCAAACGGAAAUCCCGGUAGUCGGUCUUGCUGAUUUUUCUACAUUUCGGGUUAUUUUAGGGUGUAAUCCAAAUAUUUUUAUGUUACUGUCUAUACUUUCUAAUGUUAGCCCUUUUAUAUUUCUAAUUCAAUGAAAUGAAAUCAAUAUUUCAUCAUCCAUAAAUGUCUUUUGUUGUUUCCUGAUUUUGUUAUUUGUCUUAUCUUCUUUUCAUUUCUAUUAAUGCGGACUUUAAUAACAUGACAUGCUUGCGAAAUUCAUGCUCAGAUUCUAAAAUACUGUCUAACUUCGAAAUAAUGAAUCAAGAAGCGGAAUAUGAUGAAUAUGAGGAUUUCAGGGAAAUAAACAUAGAACUGGAACAAUUUGAGAAUAAGCCUAAGCCGAACUUAAAUGAAAUCGAGCCAAUUAAUUUGGAAAACUCAGAAGACGUCAGGGAAACAAAGAUAAGCAUCCAUAUAGAUCAGAAAACUGUUAUUUGAGUUCAAAGAUGUAUUUUCAUAGUCGUAUGAUGAUAUGCUAGGACUGAGUGUUGAUUUGGUGGUGCACAAACUACCUACUUAUACUAAUUUUCCACAUGUCCAACAGAAGCAGAGGAAUUUCAAAACUGACAUUAGUGAUAAGAUAAAGGAAGAGAUCAUAAAACAGUUGAAAGCUAAUGUGAUCUGAGUUGUCCAAUACACCACGUGGUUAGCCAACGUGGUACUAGUGCCAAAGAAAGAUGGAAAAACCCGAGUCUGUGUUGAUUACCGGGAUCUGAACAAAGCAUGUCCCAAAGAUAACUUUCCCUUGCCAAAAAUCCAUAUCUACGUCGAUUAUUGUGCCAAACAUGAGAUACAGUCUUUUGUGGAUUGUUACGCUGGGUAUCACCAAGUUAUGAUGGAUGGAGAGGAUGCAGAAAAGACCGCUUUUACCAUACCAUGGAGCACAUACUAUUACAAGGUUAUGUCGUCUAAAGAAUGCCCGGGCAACUUAUAUGAGGGUUAUGACUGCCAUUUUCCAUCAUAUGAUGCAUUAGAAAAUCAAGGUGUAUGUGGAUAAUGUGAUUAUCAAGUCAAGAACGCAAGAAGAUCAUGUGCGGGAUUUGAAAAAGUUCUUUGAGAGUUUGCGCAUGUACGACUUGGAAUUGAACCCUACUAAAUGCGCAUUUAGAGUUUCGUCUGGGAAACAUUUAAGAUCCAUUGUCAAUCGGAGGGGCAUCGAAUUGGACCCAUCAAUGAUAAAAUCCAUUCGAGAUCUUCCACCCCCAAAGAGCAAGAAAGAGGUUAUGAGCCUGCUCAGGAGAUUGAACUACAUCAGCAGGUUCAUUUCUUAGCUUACUACAACUUGCGAACCCAUAAUUAAGCUUUAGAAGAAAGAUGCAAUAGUUAAAUGGACAGAUGAAUGUCAGGAAGAUUUUGAUAAUAUCAAAGAAUAUCUGUCAAAUCCGCUUGUGUUGGUUCCGCCCGAGCCGGGAAGGCCUUUUUUCUUGUACUUAACGGUCUUAGAAAAUUCUUUAGCUGUGUUCUGGGGCAACAUGAUGUAACCGGGAAAAAAUAACUGGCAAUCUAUUAUCUGAGCAAGAAGUUCACAAGUUAUGAGGUCAAGUACACGCUUUUGGAAAACUUGUUGCGCCCUAACUUGGAUCGCUCCGAAGCUAAGACAUUACCUUCUAGCUUACACAACAUACCUCAAAACCAGAAUAGAUCCCCUGAAAUAUAUAUUCCAUAAGCCGAUGCCCACUGGAAGAUUAGCGAAGUGGAAAAUCCUGCUCACUAAGUUUGACAUUGUCUAUGUCACUCGUACUGCAAUUAAAGCCCAAGCCUUGGCGGAUCAUCUCACUGAAAACCCGAUUGAUGAUGAAUAUCAGUCCUUGAACACUUACUUUCUGGACGAGCAAGUAAAUUUGGUUGAAGUAGUUCUAGAAAACUGCAAUGCUUGGACAAUUUUCUUUGAUGGGGUUGUAAACGCAAAAGGUACAUGAAUUGGAGUUAUUCGCAUUUCGCCCACUGGUCAGCACAAUCCGACCACAGCCCAACUUCGUGUUCUUUUUCACAAAUAACACCACAAAAUAUAAGGCUUUCAUAAUGGGCAUGAACAUGGCAAUUGAUCUGGAUGUGCAAGAGUUAUUGAUCAUGGGAGAUUCUGACUUGAUUAUUCGGCAAGCCCAAGGUGAGUGGGAAACUCGGGACAUCAAGCUCAUCCGAUAUAGACAACGUAUGGAAGACCUCAGUAAACCGUUUAAUUCUGUUGAGUUCAGGUAUAUUCCUCGAUUCCAUAAUGAGCUAGAAGAUGCACUAGCUACUUUGACUUUAAUGCUUCCGUACUCGUGUAAUACUCAUAUUGACCCGUUGGAAAUUCAAAUAUGAGAAAGGAACGACUAUUGCAAUAAAGUUGAAAUAGAACAGGAUGACGAGCCAUGGUAUCACGAUAUCAAAAGGUUUCUGAAAAUAAGAUAAUAUCCCGAACAAGCCAGUGCAGAUCAAAAAAGAACUACCAUAUGGCUUGCCAUCAAUUUCUUUCUAAGUGGAGAAAUCAUGUACAAAAGAACUACAUAUCCGAAUCUGUUGAUAUGUGUGGACUCUCAAGAAGCUGAUCGGAUCAUGAAUGAGGUACAUUCAGGAGUAUGUGGCCCCCAUAUGAACUGGUACGUCUUUGCAAAGAAAAUACUCUAAGCGGGUUAUUAUUGGAUGACUAUGGAAAAAGAUUAUUUCUGUUGUGUCCGCAAGUGUCAUCAGUGUUAGAUACAUAGUGAUCUGAUUCACUCGCCGCCUUCAGAGUUGCAUCCCAUGUCAGCACCUUGGCAUUCUGUCGCCUAUGGCAUGGAUGUUAUUGGGCCAAACGAGCUGAAAGCUUCAAAUGGUCAUAGAUUCAUCUUGGUUGCCAUUGAUUAUUUCACAUAAUGGGUCAAAGCAGUUACCUUCAAAGAUGUCACCAAGAACGCAGUAGUAGACUUUGUGCAUUCCUCAUUUUGGUAUCCCUAAAACUAUAAUUAUUGAUACAAAUCUGAACAACCAUUUGAGGGGAAAGGUAUGCAAGCAGUUCAAAAUUAUGCAUCGCAAUUCUACCACUUAUCGGCCCAAAGCCAAUGGCAUCGUUAAAGCCACAAACAAGAACAUUAAAAAGAUCCUUAGGAAAAUGGUCCAAGGUUCUAGACAGUGGCAUGAAAAGCUGCCUUUUGCAUUAUUGGGAUAUCCCACAACCGUGCGCACAUCGGUUGGGGACACCCCCUACUUAUUGGUUUAUGGCACUAACACUGUGAUACCAACAGAAGUUAAAUUACCACUCUUCAGAUCAUUGUUGAAGUCGAGAUUCAGGAUGAAGCAUAGGUCAAAACCUGGUUGGAACAAUUGACUUUGAUUGAUGAAAAUCAAUUGGUCAUAGUUUGUCAUGGACAGUUGUACCAACAAAGAAUGGACCGUGCCUACAAUAAGAAAGUGCGGCCCAGGAAGUUUGAAGUGGGCAACUCGUUCUGAAGCGCAUCCUUCCACAUCAUGAAGAGGCUAAAGGAAAAUUUGUCCCAAAUUGAAAAGGUCCAUACAUUCUCACAAAAGUGCUACAUAAAGGAGCAUUGUACUUGGGAGACAUCGAAGGAAAUGUCCCCAGGACAACUGUUAAUGCAGAUGCAGUUAAAAUGUACUAUGUUUGACUCAUUACUCGUUGUUAACAUUCUCUUAUUAAGAUGACGUAGUCUUUCAUUCUCACUACCCAAACACCAUUAACCCUUUUGCAAACCCUUUGAGCCGGUUAGCUUUCUUUGAUUACCCUAUUUGGAAUCUAGUGCUAAACAAAAAAGGAGAAAAAGAAAAAGCAAAAUAAAAUAGAAAACAAAAAAAAAUCAAAAACAAAAGUUCUUGUUAAUUGAACUACGUCCGACCUGAUCCUAAAAGGAUACCUAGCCAGCCUCACUCUAGGGUUCGGUCCUGGGGCAGCUGUUAUGAUAUAUUGAAAAUAUUGUUUCCCGAAAGGUUCCAAAGUUGUAGUUCAAUCCAAAUUCUUUUUACCCAAAUCUCUUUCAAGUCCUUUCGACCGUUCGACGAGAAUAUUCAAGAAUUGGAGGCCACGAUUACUUGGACAUAGCACCACCAAAAUGAUAGAAAUAAAAUGAGAGAGGCUUAUUGGUGAAAACCCUCACAGGCACCGAAAGGCAAUGGUGAGUAGAAAAAAGAAAAAAUGAGAGUAUUUUUAGUGAAAACUCAUAAAGUGCACUAUAAGGCGACAUCAAGAAGAGAAAUAAGAGAGAUCAACUUAGUGAAAAACCGAAAAGGGUGCUACUGAUCGAAAAGAGGAUCCACAACAACAUGGCGUCAACACAGUCCUGAGCAUGGUUUCUCGGUUUCAGGACAAAAGUUUUGAUAAAUUUCUGAGAGUCGAACAGUUUACACAGAUCAGGCACCUAGUCCAAGAGGCAUAUCAUGUUCAUUGAAGUCCGCAUGUACUCCCCAGAUAAGUCCUUAUGUCCUUUCCCCAAAAGGGACACCUCUUGUUUAAACUCAUUCUCGAUUUAAUUGCUUAGUUUUCUUUGAAUCCAUUUCGGUCUAACUUUGUCCCAAAAUAAGGCAAAGAAAAGAUAUGAGCUGAUAUAUUUAAAAGGCACCCAGCUUUGGCAAAGGCAUCAAGUCGACCCCAACUAGCCACGAUUGGCGAAUGCUCUGAAAUUUAAAACAUUGGAAAAAGAAGUCAAAUUGAAAUCCCCAAAAAGGAAAAUAAAGUUGAAAAGGUAAGUCCCACUCCGCGACCGACCGUCAUAAAAAUAGUUUUAAAAAAACCAAAGGUUUCCCUAGGCUAUAAAGGCAAAUUGGUAUUUAGGGAACGAUCAACUGCAGUUGUAAUCAUCAUCCGUAGAGAAUAGGCCGAGAUCAAGUGACUGAAGCACAAAAACCACAAAACCAACCACCAAUCCAAACUAACAAUUAUUCUUUCUUUGAAAAUAUGAAACAUGCACAAUGCAUAAGAACAACCUCGCAAAAGCAGGUAUAACCAAAAAGAAAUCAUGCGGAGAUUGAAAAUAACACCGCAACACAAAAAUCGCAAAAGGGAAGUCUUCUUAAAAUUCUUCCCCACAUUUUGCUCACAUUUUAAAUGCAUUACAAAUCAUGCUAGUAUAGGGUACACCAGUCUCUAACUAUAUUGUGCGAAGUAGGGUACACCACCCCCUAGCUGAUAAUUAUUUUAGACAUAGGGUACAACACUCCCUAGUCUCUUUACCAGUAUACGGUACACCAAUUCCUAGUUGUAUUUUCCAACAUAGGGUACACAACUCCCUAGUUGAUGAUUAUUUUAGACAUAGGGUACACCACUCUCUAGUCUCUCUACCAGUUAGGGUACACUAAUCCCUAGUUGUAUUUUCUAUCGUAAGGUACACCAUUUCCUAGUUGAUGAUUUUUAGACAUAGGGUACACUACUCCCUAGUCUCUUUACCAAUAUAUAGUACACCAAUCCCUAGUUGUUUUCCAACAUAGGUUACACCACUCCCUAGUUGAUGAUUUUUAGACAUAGGGUAUGGCACUCCCUAGUUUCUUUGCCAGUAUAGGGUACACCUAACCCUAGUUGUUUCCAACAUAUGGUACACCACUCCCUAGUUGAUAUUUUAAACAUAGGAUAGGCCAUUACCUAGUCUUUUUACCAAUAUAGGGUACAACAAUCCCUAGAUGUUGUUUCCAAUGUAGGGUACACCACUCCCUAGUUGAUGACCUUAAAUACAUGGUACACCAUUCCCUAAUCUCAUUACUAAUACAGGGUACACCACUCCCUCACCUAUUUGCCAGUAUAGGAUACACUAAUCCCCAGUCGUGUUUUUCAACGUAGAGUACACCACUCCUUAGUUGAUGAUCUUAAAUUCAAGGUACACCAUUCCCUGAUUUCAUUGCCAAUAUAGGGUACACCAUUCCCUGGCCGCAAGUAAUGACCCAACCGGCCAUUUUGAGCAUUUACCUUCCGUUUAGCUUUUUCAAGUCUUGAGUAGCUUUAUAUGAUGUAUUAUGACUUGUGUGAAUCAUCGGUUUUGGUUUUCAAGUGUUCGGGAUUGAUUUGAAAGAAUGAUUCUCAACUAGGAAGCUUUAACUUGGAAGAGUUGACCAAGUUUGACUUUUAUGUAUUUGACCUUGGAUCGGAGUUUUGAUGAUUCUGUUAGGUCUGGAUGGUUAUUUUGGACUUGGGCGUAUGCCCGGAUUUGCAUUUGGAUGUCUCUAGAAGGUUUCGGUACUAUUUGGCAAAAGUUAGCAAUUUGAAGGUUUGGAAAGUUCAUAAGUUUCACCAGGAGUUGACUUUGAUGAUAUAAGGUCCGGAUUGUUGUUUCGGGAGUUAGAAUAAGUUCAUUAUGUCAUUUGAAACUUGUGUGCAAAAUUAGAUGUCAUUCUAACUUGAUUUGAUAUGGUUCAACACAAGUUUUGGAAGUUGAAAGUUCAAAAGUUCAUUAAGUUUGAUUUAAGGUGCGAUUCAUGGUUUUGAUAUUUUUGUGUGUGAUUUGAGGCCUCGAGUAAGUCCGUGUUAUAUUUUGAGACUUGUUGGUAUGUUCAGAUAGGGUUCCAAGGGGCUCGGGUGAGUUUCGGACGUUGUUCAGAUCAUUUCGGAUUAUUUUUGUAUUGCUGAUUGCUGGUGUGUCUGCAGAGCAUCACGAUCGCGGACCUAGGCUCGUGAUCGCGUAGAGGAAUUCUAGAGCUGGGUAUUUUUCUUCUUUGUGUUCGCGACAUUAAGAACAUGUUCGCGUAGGUUUGUAUUGGUUACUGUUCGAUUUUGCGUAUGUGGCAUCGCGUUCGCAUAGAGCUGAGCUAAGAGUUGGGAGCUAGGGACUUCUUCAACAUGUUCGUGUAAGCUAUGUCACAUUCGCGGAUCGUUGGUGUCUGUGGUCAUCGUGUUCACGUGGCCAGUAUCGCAAACGCGUAGAGCGUUUUUGGUGGUAGUUGUGUUUGUUCUUUGCGAUAGUAAAGGAAAUCCCGAGAUCGUGAUGGGUAUUAUUGUUAAGUGAUUAUAAGUACUCUAUUUCGAAGGUUUCAGACAUUUUAUCAUAUUUUGAGAUAUGUAGCUCGGAUUUGACCGAUUUUGGAGGCGAUUUUUACCCCAUGGAUUGGGGUAAGUGUUUUCUACUCUUUCUAUUAUAUUGUGUGAUUCCAUAUUCGUUUUGUCAUUUGAUUGAUGAUUUCAAAAGACAAAUUGGGGGUUUUGUCAAAACUUUUCUAAGUGAAGUUUUGAGUUUUGAACAUCGAUUCGAAGUUAGAUUUGAGUGAGAUUUAUAUGGUUGGACUAGUAAUUGAAUGGGUCGUCGGAUUUUAUAAGUUUUGUCGGCUUCCGAGGUGCGAAUUUCGAUUUGACUUUUUGGAUGACUUUGAGUAAAUGUGUAAUGAUUCGACCUUUAUCAUUUGGGAUAAUUUUCUUAGGCAUUAUUUAAUGUUUUAGAGUUGCUUUUGGCUAGUUUCGAGCCAUUCGAAGGUUGAUACAUGCGGGAUGGAGUUUCUAGAGUAUUGUUUGGCUUGCUUGGUAUUGGAUUUGAUGUUCAAGGUGAGUAAUAUAUCUAAACUUGGACUUUAGGGUAUUUAACCCUAGGAACUAUGUUAUAAGAGAUGUAUUGGGGUGACUCACAUGCUAGGUGAUGAGUGUGUGGGUGUGCACCAAGGUAAUCAUGUUUCAAGUUAACUAUUACACUAUGAUCAGACAUGUUUUGAUGUUAUAACUUGUUCUAUCCGUGUAAUUCCUACUUGUUAGAGUAAUUGAAAUGUGAUUCAUGUUAGAAAUCAUGUUUAGGCUUUGUGCUUAUUCGGUAGAAAGAGGCUAUUUUUGUUGUUUUGAGUUUUCUGCUUUAAUUGUAAUUAUAUAUAUUCAGUCAUGAUCUUCAUUUGCAUAUCAUAUCUCACUCCUAGUUCAUCAUUCACUGUUAUAUCACAUGUUAUCUUGUUUGGGCUGAGUGGUAUGAGAUUGUGUGCCCUUGAGACUUGAGAGAUUGAUGACUGAGGUGGGCCUGAGAGUUGUGUUGUGAGUGUUAUUAUAGAUCUGGCUGCACACUGCAGCAGGCCUUAUGGGCUUUUGAUUAGCAUUUGGGCAAGAUUCGCCCCUCCAGAGUCUGACAUACCAGCGGUGAGCGCAGGAGCAUUGAUAUAUAUANNNNNNNNNNNNNNNNNNNNNNNNNNNNNNNNNNNNNNNNNNNNNNNNNNNNNNNNNNNNNNNNNNNNNNNNNNNNNNNNNNNNNNNNNNNNNNNNNNNNNNNNNNNNNNNNNNNNNNNNNNNNNNNNNNNNNNNNNNNNNNNNNNNNNNNNNNNNNNNNNNNNNNNNNNNNNNNNNNNNNNNNNNNNNNNNNNNNNNNNNNNNNNNNNNNNNNNNNNNNNNNNNNNNNNNNNNNNNNNNNNNNNNNNNNNNNNNNNNNNNNNNNNNNNNNNNNNNNNNNNNNNNNNNNNNNNNNNNNNNNNNNNNNNNNNNNNNNNNNNNNNNNNNNNNNNNNNNNNNNNNNNNNNNNNNNNNNNNNNNNNNNNNNNNNNNNNNNNNNNNNNNNNNNNNNNNNNNNNNNNNNNNNNNNNNNNNNNNNNNNNNNNNNNNNNNNNNNNNNNNNNNNNNNNNNNNNNNNNNNNNNNNNNNNNNNNNNNNNNNNNNNNNNNNNNNNUUUGGUGAGGGGCUUAUGAGCCAGGCACCCGUGCAGUGUUGAGUGAUUUAUUUUAUGUAUGUGUGUGUGUGUGAUGAAGUGGCUAUUUGAAACAGACAGCUUGAGUAUAUUAAGGGUGAGAGUACCUGGGUAUAUCAUCGUGAAAUCAUUCAUUUGACAUGCAUGCUUGGCAUGUUAGCAUAGAGAUGCAUUGUUUCUCAUGCUAGACGGUAUUGUGACAUUCAUGAUUUGAUAUAUACAUUUGACAUGUAGGCAUAGAGAUGUAUAUUCCUCAUGCUAGAUGGUAUAUGGUAAUUGAUGACUUGACAAGUAUAUUGGCAUGUAGACAUAAAGACGUAUUUUCCUCAUGCUAACUGGUAAACGAAAAUUCUUAUCUAGUCUUGUGAAUUAGAAAUACAGUUCUAUAGAUAAACUCAUGUUUAGUUGAUUUUCAGUUGUAAUAUCUAGGCUUGACUGAUAUACUUGGAAAGCAUGUCUACUUUUAUGUAACUGUGAGCGAGUUGAGCAUCAUAUCUUUUGAGCUAUCACUUUUACCGCCUUUAUUAUAUUAUUAUUUAUUAAUAUUGGCUAUUGGUGUGGGACACUGACCUUCUUUCGAGCUCGUCACUACUUUCAACCUAAGUUUAGGUUUGUUACAUAUUGAGUAUAUUGGGUGGGUUUUACUCAUAUUACACUUCUGCACCUUGCAUGCAGAUUUUGGAGCUGGUGUUGUUGUGUAUGGCGGGAGUUGGCAUUGCAUAUAUACAUGCGUUCCGGUUAUAGCUGUCUAUUGUUCUUGGUAGCUUUAUAGUUAUAAAUAUAUUUAUGUAUAUUUCGAAUAGAUGAUGUAUUUAUUUCGUACCAUCCUUAUAAAUUCUAAGUCUUAGAAGCUCAUGACUUGUACUACCAAUCCUUGGGAUUUUGUAUCGAAAGGUCAGUUAUUCUAUUUAUUGAUUUUUUUUAUCCUAUUUGAGUUGGGUUGUCUAUCAUUCGGCUUACCGAGCGGGUUGGGUUAGGUGUCAUCACGACUGGCUGGAUUUUAGGUCGUGACAAGUUGGUAUCUCAUCUCUGGUUCAUAGGUUAUACGAGUCAUGAGCAAAUAGCUAGUAGAGUCUUGUGGGUCGGUAUGAUGCCAUCCAUACCUAUCUUCGAGAGGCUACAGGGCAUCUGGGAUAAACUAUCCAUCUUUCUUUUCUUAUCGUGCAACAUUGAUUCAGCUCAAAGAGUAUCUCUUUAAAUUUCUUCCACUCACCCGCAUGUUAUGUGAGCGCUCGGUAUCAGCUAUGCAUCAAUAGCUUGUGAUUCCAUGGACGAGGUACGAGAUAUAUUUUUGUGUUUUGGUGGUAGGCUAGUCUGGAGGACUUGUGGGCGGGUUUUGAUCACAACUUGGGCAUGAUGGUUUUAGUGGUGUAAACAUGUGCUUUUGGGCUUAUAUGUCCAGUAGUAUCCCUAGUAGCGGGAUUUAUGGCUUGGUGAGUGGUUGGAUAGCUAUAUGAUGAAUAUGAGGUGACUGUGGGAUGUGUUCCGAUGGCUUUGAUGUGAUAAGAAGGGUUCCUUGGGAUGUGAAAAAGACUAUUGGAUGCUUGAUUUUUGUCUUGAUGUAUUGUACAGUCUCGAGUUAUGAUCGUAUUGAGGGAUCUUUCAUGGUGUCCAAUUAUGGGUCAGGUGGAUUCUUAAGUCUUUUUGACGAGUUUAGAAUCGGGAAGAUUAAGUGACUACAUGAUGGUUGUGGACAUGAUAGGGAGUAGUGAAAUUCUAAUUUGAGGCUAAGUAGAUGGGUUAUCUCCGAUAGGGUGGUCUAUGGAUGUAUGAUCCUUAUGAUGUUGUGUGGAGAGUUUCGUUCUAUCAGUGGGUUAUAUGUGUUGCGAUUUGAGUUUGGUUCGAUUGAGAAAUUUGACCUGACUAUCAUGAGGAUGAAUGCGAGCUUAGCGGAUGAUUUGAGGUAUUUUAUGGUUUGUGUUGCAUGAGCUUAUGAAGGAUUUAGUUGAAUUUCAAUGAGAGAUUAUGACAGUAAUAGAGUAUGGGUAUUGUGAGUUAUUGAAUGUUUUGUUCUAUGGAUUUUGAGCCAAGUGGGGGCAUUUGCGAUCGACGAUUUGAUUGCAUGGUUAUGUGUUGCACUAGUUUCUGUUUGAGGCAUACUUGUGAAUCAGUUAUGACUUGCAGAGGUUGAGAUCGAUGGUGACUUGAGUAAGGAAAUUUUAGGAUACGGGUUAUAUUACACUUUAUGGGUAUAUAAAAAUCAUGGAAUGAUUUGAGUUGUUAUUCGUGACAGAUGUAGUGCGCAUGGAAUGGUAAUUUACUCGGUUACAUUAAGGUAGGGUUAAUUCUUUGGGUGUUGUUGUGUUAAUGGGACACAGGUCGUUCGGUCAGUUUAGACGGUGCAAUUGAGAUUUGAGCAGAGUGGAUGAUCUCGAGAAGGUUCUAAUGGAUUCAAGAUUUAUAUGUGGCAAUUAAAAAUUUUCCAGAUUUGUAUAUGGCUAGAAUCUGAGAUUUUCAUUGAAUGGUGUCGAGACUCGCGGAAUUUCUAUAUCAUUAUCGAUUACAUUUCAGUAUCAGAAAGGUAAAAGGAAAAACUUUAAAUUCACAGAAGGCCUUCUUAGAGUGGGAAUCUCAGUUGUUGUACUUUGGGGUGCUUAAGAGGGAAUACAAUGGCUCAUGGGCCUUAGGGUGGUGUGGCUUUAUGCUAGGUUCUCUCAUGGUGAGCGUUGGAUUAAGGGUUCUAGUGUGCGGGAAAGGAGAAGUGUUAACUUGAAGGCAAUUCGGAAGGAACUCGGAGAAAUAGGACAACUUGGUGGUAGAUCGGAUCAGCAUAGUAAUGGGUAUGAUCUAUUCUUUGGGUUCUUAUGAUGUGGUGAUAUUUACAGGUGUUUUGUGGUAAUACUUUUGUGUUUGGUGACGUGCGUGACUUGGUUGAGUUAGAGGGAUUCAGUUCUGAUGGCUUGAUUAUGUGCAAAUGGGCCUCGUAGAGUUCUCGAUGAUUUUUACCACGCCUUAAGAUGGAUACUUUCUAUAGGAAUGGGGAGUUUGUUAUGAUUUUCUCCUGAAUAAGAUCAGGUGGAUGGUUUUUAGCUAAUUGAGUAGGUAAUCUGCUUGUGACUCAUGGUUGAUAAUGUAGUUCUCGUGUUUUCAUAUGAUGGCAUGAUAGAUGUGGUGCGUCGUGUGGGAUUGAAAUUUGCAUGUACAAGGUGGUGAUUCAGUUUUAGAGGGAAGGUCAUGAAUUUUAGACAACAUGUACGGUCCAAAUGUUUAGAUGUAUGCUAGUAAUACUUGGUAUUACCUGAGAAGGGCAUGCAUUUCAUAAGGCGCACUGUGUUUUGGCUUACGGAUGCUUCAUUGAUAUUGUGAUACUUGCCCGGUUGAUCAACUGCUAAUGUUCAGAUUUUGCUUUGUGGCACGAAAGAAUUAUUGAAGUAUUUCUCGUGAAAUGAUUGUGUAUGAAGGAUAUGUCAGUCACUUGAGUGGUCGAGCUAGGAUCGGAUAUAGUGAUUCUGGUAUUCUAGGGAUUUAGAGACGGGAGUUCUCAGAGGCAGAUUGUUCCUUGGUUGUGGACUGUGAAAGUAUAGCCAAAGUUAGACAGCUAAUAGUAUGUGUUAUCGUUAGGUUAUUGUGAAAUUUUGGGGGGUUAUUUAUCUAAUUAUGGAUGAUCGGAGUUGAUUUGGGGGCUCAUUGGUAGGGCCAAUGAGGAUGUGUAUUCUACACCGAGUCAGGUUUGUUUACUCAACAAGCAUGGGGAGUUUGUUAAGGGUUGAGUCACUCAGUUGGAGUUGAGCAUGUUCGUGUUCCGAUAUAUUCUAUGUGUUACUCUUCUAUGCUACAAUGGGUGGCGAUCUGAUGGUUAUUUUCACACUAGAUGCGUUUUCGUUUGGGCCUUGCAGCGAAAUUCGAGCGAGAUGGAAAUUGGGGUGUUGAAUGGUUGAUUGUACCUUAGUUAUAGUCUUUUCGGGCUGUGGUAUAUUGUGUUAUUCGCUUUUCCAUGGUUAUGGUCAUGCACUUCGUGUACUUGCUGUCGCAUUGCGUGUGGUUGUUGAUUUUGAGCAUUGUGGCUUGAGAUAUUUCAUAUGGACCGGUGUUUGGAUGGGUCACGCAUUAUAGCGGGGUUAUGUUUGGAUAUGAUCCUCUGUGUUAGAUUCGUGUGUCUUGGUUCUACUAUGUGUGAUGGGUUCAUAGCAUUGCGUUUGUGGUGGAACUUGUUGAUCUUGCAGGGCGAUUCUCUCAUUUGAGUCAUUUUUCAUGUUUGAAUACAUUUGAAUUGUUGCUUGUUGGUGCACGGAUUGCACGGUUUGUGACUUUAGGUUGUAUUUGUGUGUAAUGUCAGUAGAAUAGUUGUGUUUGAUAAGAUGAGGUCAUUGGACCAAGAAUGGGUGCUAUCGGAUUUGAUUACGGUAUGUUUGGGAGAAUAAUAUCGGAAGUCGACUUAGAAUUUGCUUGGGUUUUUGUCAAACGAGAGAGAGCUCCAUGACUUGCUGAUCUGAUGAGUAGUUAAGAGUUUCUACGUGUUUCUUUCAUCAUAGGCAGUGUAUAAAGCUUUUGAACAGGCUUUAUUUAAUAUGAGGUUUAUUACCGGUACUGGGUUUAUUUUUUACCAACGACUAUGAUCGGAAAUUAUAGCUACGCGUAUGAGAGUUAUGUGGUAUAUCAUGUGAUUACAUCUUGGGUCAUACUUAUGGCUUGAUAUAACUUUUUCAGACUUAUACAGUGUGUAGGAGCAAGAUUCGGGUCUUGUAAUAAAUUCCAGAUGUUGGAAUUUGGGUUAUAUGGGUUACAGACUAAGGUUGAAGUAAGGAUCUUCAAUUAUGUUGUGUUGUCAAGCUUAUUUGGAUUGGGGUGAUGUGGGAUCACCCCCGAGUAUGUGCAUGGUAUGGUUACACAGUGAUUUGAUGGCUUUGGAAUGGCUCUUGGCACGUUCGAGGACGAACGUAUGUUUAAGUGGGGGAGAAUGUAACAACCUAAUCGGCCGUUUUGAGCAUUUGCCUUCCGUUCAGCUGUUUGAAGUCUUGAGUAGCUUCAUUUGAUGUAUUAUGACUUGUUUAAAUCAUCGGUUUUGGUUUUCAGGUGAUUCGUGAUUGAUUUGGAAGAAUGAUUCUCAACUAGAAAGCUUUAAGUUGAAAGAGUUGACCAAGAUUGACUUUUGUUUACUUGACCUUGGAUCGGAGUUUUGAUGGUUAUGUUAGGUCCAGAUGGUGAUGUUGGACUUGGGCGUAUAUUGGGAUUUGCAUUUGGAUGUCUCUAGAAGGUUUCGACACUAUUUGGCGAAAAUUGGCAAUUUGAGGGUUUGGAAAAUUCAUAAGUUUGACUGGGAGUUGACCUUGAUGAUAUCAGGUUCGGAUUGUUGUUCCGGGAGAUAGAAUAGGUUCUCUAUGUCAUUUGGAACUUGUGUGCAUAAUUUGAGGUCAUUCUGACUUGAUUUGAUUUGGUUCAGCACAAGUUUUGAAAGUUGAAAGUUCAUUAAGUUUGAUUUGAGGUGCAAUUCGUGGUUUUGAUGUUUUUAUGUGUGAUUUGAGGCCUUGAGUAGGUCCGUGUUAUGUUUUGGGACUCAUUGGUAUGUUCGGACGGGGUUUCGAGGGGCUCGAGUGACUUUUAGGCGUGGUUCAGAUCAUUAUGGAUGGUUUUUAUAUUGCUGAUUGCUAGUACGUCUACAGAGCAUCGCGAUCAUGGAGCUAGGCUCGCGAUUGCGUAGAGGAAUUCUGGAGCCAGGUAUUUUUCUUCUUCACGUUCGUGACAUCAAGAACGCGUUCGCGUAGGUUUGUAUUGGUUACUGUUCGCGUUCGCGUAUGUGGCAUCGCGUUCGCAUAGAGCAAAGCUGAGAACUGGGGGCUUCUUCAACACAUUCGCGUAAGCUAGGUCGCAUUCGUAGAGCGUUGGUGUCCGUGGUCAUCACGUUCACGUGGACAGUAUCACAAACGCGUUAAGCAUUUUUGGUGGUAGUUGCAAUUGUUCUUCACGAUCGCGAAGGAAAUCCCGCGAUCGCGAUGGUUAUUACUAUUCAGUGAUUAUAAGUACUCUAUUUCGAAGGUUUUAGACAUUUUAUCAUAUUUUGAGCUAUGGAGCUCGAAUUAGGGCGAGUUUUAGGCGAUUUUCACCACAUGGAUUGGGGUAAGUAUUUUCUACUCGGUUUUGAUUAUAUUUCGUGAUUUCAUCUUCGUUUUUGGCAUUUGAUUGAUGAUUUCAAAAGAGAAAUUAGGGGGUUUUGUCUAAACUUUCCUAAAGUGAUUUUUUGCGUUUUGAACGUCAAUUAAGAGUUGGAUUUGAGUGAGAUUUGUAUGGUUGGACUCAUAAAUGAAUGGGUCGUCAAAUUUUGUGAGUUUUAUCAGGUUUCGAGGUGCGGGCCCGUAUUUGACUCUUUGGUUGACUUUGAGUAAAUGCGUAAAGAUUCGACCUUUAUCAUUUGGGAUUGUUUCCUUAGGCAUUAUUUGAUGUUUUAGAGUUGCUUUUGGCUAGUUUCGAGCCGUGCGGAGGUUCAAACGCGCGGUAUGGAGUUUCUAGAGUAUUGUUUGGCUUGCUUGGUAUUUGAUUUGACUGGUUCAAGGUGAGUAACAUAUCUAAACUUGAACUUGAUGCUAUUUAACCCUGGGAACUAUGUUAUAAGAGAUGUAUUAGGGUGACGCAAAUGCUAGGUGAUGAGCGUGUGGGCGUGCACCGAGGUAAUCAUGAUUCAAGUUAACUAUUAGACUAUGAUCAAACUUGUUUUGAUGUUAUAUCUUGUUCUAUCUAUGUAAUUCGUACUUGUUAGAGUAAUUGAGUUGUGAUUCAUGUUAGAAAUCAUGUUUAGGCUAUGUGAUUAUUCGAUUGAGACCUAAAGAGGCUAUUUCUAUUAUUUUGAGUUUUCUACUGUAACUAUAAUUAUAUAUUCAGUCAUGAUUCUUCAUUUGCAUAUCAUAUCUCAGUCUCUGUUCAUUAUUCACUGUUACAUCACAUGUUAUCUUGUUUGGGCUGAGUGGUACGAGAUUGUGUGCCCUUGAGACUUGAGAGAUUGAUGACUGAGGUGGGCCUGAGAGCCGUAUUGUGAGUGUUAUUGUGGAUCGGUUUGCAUGCCGCAGUAUGCCUUAUUGGCUUAUUUAUUAUUGUGGAUCGGGUUGCACGCCGCAGGAGGCCUUAUAGGCUUUUGAUUAGCGGUUGGGCAGGAUCCGCCCCUCAGAAGUCUGACAUACCAGCAGAGAGCGCAGGCACAAUAAUAUAUAUACACGUGCUUUGGUGAAGGGCUUAUGAGCCAACACUCGUACAGUGAUGAGUGAUUGUGUAUGUGUGUGUGUAUGUGUGAUGAAGUGGGCAUUUGAAACAAACAAUUUGAGUAUGUUGAGGGUGACAGUACCUGAGAAUUUCACCAUGAAAUCAUUUAUUUGACAUGAAUGCUUGGCAUGUAGGCAUAAAGAUGCAUCUUUCCUCAUGCUAGACGGUACUGUGACAUUCAUGAUUUGACAUGUACAUUUGACACGUAGGCAUAAAGAUGUAUAUUUCUCAUGCUAGACGGUAUAUGGUAAUUGAUGACUUGACAUGUAUAUUGACAUGUAGGCAUAGAGACGUAUUUUCCUCUUGCUAAUUGGUAAAUGAAAAUUCUUAUCUGGUGUUGUGAAUUGGAAAUACAGUUCUAUUGAUAAACUCAUGUUUAGUUGCUUUUCAGUUGUAAUAUCUGGGCUUGACUGUUAUACCUGGAAAACAUGGCUACUUUUCUGUAACUAUGAAUGAGCUGUGCAUAAUAUCUUUUGAGCUAUCACUUUUACCGCCUCUAUUAUAUUAUUAUGAGUUAAUAUUGGCUAUUGGUGUGGGACGAUUACCUUCUUCCGAGCUCAUCACUGCUUUCAACCUAAGGUUAGGCUUGUUACUUAUUGAGUACAUAGGGUCGGUUGUACUCAUACUACACUUCCGCACCUUGCGUGCAGAUUUUGGAGUUGAUGUUGCUGUGUACGGCAGGAGCUGGCAUUGAAGAUGUACCUGCAUUCCGGUUAUAGCUGCCUCUUGUUCUUGGUAGCUUUACAUUUAUAAAUCCUUAGGAUUUGUAUAUUUCUGUUAUCCUUUUUGAGUUGGGUUGUCUAUCAUUUAGCUUACCUAGCGGAUUGGGUUAGGUUCCAUCACAAAUGGCUGGAUUGUGGGUCGCGACACCAUAUUUUGCCCAAUUUAAGGUACAUCAGUCCUUAGUUGAGGCAUCAUUUUGACAAUAAGGGUACAUUGUCCACGACGAAUCAUGAUUUUUUUCCAGGGUAUGCCAUUCCCGAUAUUUUCUUGCUUUCAAUAAAAGAUUGCAGCUUAGAAUUUUAUUAUAAUAGCUCACAAAAGUUUCCUAGUAAAAACUUGCGCAGAAAAUGUUGUUGGAAAAAUAGCCUCCGGGCCACCUAAACUUGCACCCAAUUGUCAAUCAUGUAAAUGAACUUAGGAGUUUCCCAUUUAAGCACCUCUACUUGAUGAAAUGCCUACUAAUAAACAUAUCUGACUGUUUACCAUACUUACGUGGCAAUUACAAUACUAAUGUGGUAAAGAUGCGUGUCUAUCACGCUCAUAAAGAGCGUGCAUUUGGUGAUUUUAGCCUUUUAAAGAAACAAAAAAUAAUAAAUAAAUAAAAAAGACCAAAAAUUAAAAAGAAAAAGGGAAAUUUCUCCGGAUAGCCUCUUCGUCUCCUUCUUUCUUCACGUCCAUCUCUCCUAACCCCCCUCCCCCCACCCCAUCCCUUCAUCUUUCUUUCUUUAAUUUUUCCUCUUCUUCAUUCAAGCUUUCAUUGCCACAAAACCAGUCCGGCAAUUCUGGAAACCCUUUUUUCUUUGCAAAUAAAAUAGGUACUCUUAAAACCUGCCAAAUCCCACAAAACUACUCCAGCAAGUUCAUUGGUGUCUAAAAAAUUCAGAUAACAGCAGAUUCAGCGGCAGAUUCAAUUUCAAGGAGUUCUGAAUCCCUCUGCAUAGAGAAUAUUAUAACUUUUUGAAUGUAUUACUAAAUGAGAAAGAGGUUGUAGCCAUAGCUUUCAGAAAUUCUGGCGAGACAGGUUGCCGGAUUAGUGACACCAUCAACUCUCAUCAACUCCUCCAUGGUCCUAGUGGAGCUAUUGUAUUAAGGAAGAGAAAGAAAAAAAAUAGAUCGUAUAAAGCAACUCCCCUCAAUUCCGCUAGUGACCGCUGCUUAGUGUGGUUGCCAUGUUUAGAAGAAGAGUGGGAAUAGAUUUUAAAAUUAUUAUUACUAAUUAGUUAAUGGGAUCUACAAAAUAUAGGUGUAAAAAAAUAAUAGGUUAAAAUGUGGCGUGUCAUAAUAUCUCAGCGAUUGAAGAACACGCUCAAGGAGGGUUGCAUUUCAUCAAGUAGAGGUGCUUAAGUGGGAAAGUCCUAAGUUUACUUACCAGGUUGACAAAUGGGUACAAGUUUAGGUGGCCCGGAGAUCAUUUUACCAAUUUUGUUCAUUUGUUUGUUUUGGUGUCUGAGCAAAUCUUACCUCGGGCCACAUGGUUAAGAUGACCGAAAGAAGAAGUCUUAAUCUAGAAUAAAAGAAGAGAAAAGAAAAGAAGUGAAUCCAAGGUGCAAAAGCAAAUAGAAAGAGAUAUGGACUGCUCAAGACAUGACUGAAGUUAUGAGUAUUACAUUCCCUAUUUUUAUCAAGAUGGAGCCAUAAAAAAGUGAACUAGCACCUGCAGCUAACAGGCGUCAAGGUUUGGAUUAGAGUCUACACAAAGAACUAGUAAGACUCAAGACUAAGCUUUAGUAGACUAAUAGAUAGGAAUCUUGUAACUCAUAGCUGAUAGGUAUGUUUAGUUUCUUUUAUAUUUUGAUUUUGGUGUAAUAAGGAGUUCAACAAGCAGUAAUAGCAGCAACAGCAGUAAAAUCACAGCUCUUCGGUAUUCCCAGCUACAAGAACUUCCAGAACUACACUAACCUGAUUCCUUUAUAGCCAAGGAUAUGUAGGCAACCUCGGAAACAAGGUUCGGUCAAACUUUUUUAAAGCUUCCCAUGGAGUAUUUAAACGGAAAAAAAUUAUUCAUAAUUGCUCACUUUAUCUUUGCUCGAAAACUCUCCAUGUUCUCGAGCAAAGUGGGGCAACUGUGAGCAUGUAAUUUUUGUCCAGCAUGAAAAUUACUCCUAAAAUAUAUUCCAAAAUUGUUCUUAUAGAAUUUUUGGAUUUUUUGGUUAUUUUAUUUGAUUUCAUGUUUGAAUUAAUAGAUCAUUUGCAUUUUUUAUUACUAGGAGCAUUUUAAAAUCAUAAAAAUUUCAAAAAUAUUUUUAUCAUUCAUGUGUUGCAUUUUUAGAUUUUUAUUUGCAUUUUUAGGGUUUAAUUACAUUUUUAAAUGCAUUGAUUAAAUACAAAACUCACAAAAGGGGGUUACAUUGAUCAUCCUUUGCAUUUUUAGGUUCAAUUAAUUAAUUAAUUUGUUAAUUCACCAUUUAAGUAAUUUAAUAUUGGUCAAACUAGAUAAAUAGGCCAAUUGUGCAAAAUUGGGUUAUGGCUAAGCUUAAAACAACAAAGAAGGGGCUGCUCAUGUUACAUCCGGGGCCAAAUUGGAUGGCCGAAUUACCUCUCAACACUGCCCCAACCCAAUCCCUUUAUCCGGUCCAAGCCAUUAUCAACGGCUGAGCGACGCCAUUUUGGUGUUGAAUUCAUCACCGCCCUUCAUCUCUUUUGAUCCAACGGUUUGGAACUCAAUAGCCUCCCCCCUUAAAAAUUUCCUAACAGACCCCCUACCCCCCAAAGACCUCUCAAACACUCUUCCCGUCUCUCUCAUUCUCCACCCAAAGUCGGCGCCGAAAAUCGCCCACGGCGGCGAGCCACCUCCAAACCAUCAUGAAUUAUUACCCUAUAAUCCUCUCACCCUUCUUAUUUUUUAAUCUCUAGUCCAUCUCUCCUAAAAACUCUUCAAUUACGUUGUUUAGUAAAUCUAGAAAUUUCGGACUUGAAACCUACGUUAAUUGGUUUCUCUUGAUGAGUGUAAUUGAUUGACGUAAGUUAUGGUUCAUUUUAUGGCCACAGGUAUCAUAUCAAAUCCCGUUGACUGGCAAGUUUCCUCUCCAAUUGCUCUAUUUUUGUUGCUCCGAUUGGUUCAAGUCCAAUAUGUAUGAUUCUCAUCUCGUUUCUUUAAGUUUCAGUUGCAUCCUCAUUCCUAUCUCUCUUUUACUCCAUUUCUGUCAAGAAAGUAUGUUUGGUGCUCAACUUGUUUGAAGUUAAUUAUUACAAUAGGCUAUUCAGUUUCUCAAUUUUGUAAUUAGCUUCCAAAUUUUAAGAUUAAACACCUUAGGAUUUCAUAUAGAGAUAAACUAUUUCAGUAAUUAAUACGCAUGUUGUGUUCAUCAUUAUCUGUUGGAUUUAGUUCAUUUCUAUAGUCGCAUAAUAAUUGUUCAGUGGUUUAGUCUUGUUGUUGAGUUUUUCUAUCUUUUUUUAAUUAUUAUUUUAUUUUGAUUUUAUUCUGUUCUUUAGUUGGAUUGAAGCUUGAUACUGAAAGCCAUUUGGUCAGACUUAGGGUGAUGAUGAAUGGUAAUUAACAGAGGUUCUAGUGGGUAGUUGGGGAAAUAGAUUUAGGGAAUCUCUCAAUUAAUUUCCAGAUGAGUGUAGAAAAGGACCAAUUGGUAAUUAAGAAAGUAAAAGAGGUCGGGUAAGGGGUGUGAGAGGUAAAAAAUAAAAAUAAAAGGAUUAGAAAGAAAGAAAAAUAACUAAAAGCAGCCAUGGAAUCUGAUAUAAAAAUAGUACUACUCUUCACACUUUAUAAACUAUCCAAACAUCCAAAUUAUCCCAUCAAACAUCUAAACUAUCCAACCAAACUUCAAAAUGUAAUAUUCAAAGUCAACAUCCAACUAAACAACAAUCCAACCAAAUAUAAAACCACUCCUCAUCUUCGGAUUCCCCCUUAUCUUCAUCAUCAUUUAUAUUGUUUUCAUCACUUUCAUCCUUUUUAUAAAUGUGGCUUUUUGGUGGAGAGCAGGGCAUGCCGAUUAAGUGGUUCAGUUGAGCCUUGAGGGAGUUGAUGUCAUUCCUAAAUGCGGUCUUAAUCUUCUCUUCAUGCUUUCUUCUUUCUUGUUCAUCCACAUAGUUCCUAAAAAGUCGUUGAAUCGUUCGCCACAUCUCCUCAAGGUCCUCACUUUGCACAGUGGCGGAUAUCCCAACUUCGGCACCUAACUUCAAAAUAAUUCAGCACCUAACUUCAUAAAAAGUAACCAGAAAAAGUUCUCCAGCAAAUAAACUCUUUAAGCUUUUGAACUUUUCUUUUAUCAUCAGUUCUGCUUGCAUAAUUUGCCUCUACCACCAAAAGAAGUGCACCAUUAGAUCUGCACAAUUAUGUGCAGAGUGCACAAUUAGAAUAAAAUUUUAUAUUUUUUUGAAAAUGAAUCACAAGUUCCAACUAUAUAAUAUCUUAGCUACCUUCCGAGAAAGUCUAGCAAUGAGCUAAAAGAUUUCACCUCUUGAACCAUACACAGAAUGUGACCCUAAAGAAAAAAAAUACUUACCAAAUAAUUGUAUCAUAAGAUGUACUGUCUCGUGGAUCCCAAUUCUAAAUAAAAUUUCCUUUCCUAAAUGAGACUAGGCCAAGCAAAUACUGCUUUUGCAAAUCAUAAGAUUCUUGGCAACAGUAGGUGAUGACUUAAACUACCUUUGAAACGCUUAUGAUUCUUGGCAACAGUAGGUGAUAACUUAUAUAGCUGAAUCAUUUCCUUUUGAAAUCCUAAAGAUUUUGAUUAAGAAGCUCUUCCACAUCAUUUUGAACUCCAAAUACUUCUGACUACUAUGAACAUUUACAUUGUUACAAAUUCACUUACCAAACCCCGAACCACUGCUGAAUCAAUGAGUUACGCUUCAAGAUGAAUCAAUGUCGCAGGAUAAGGAAAGAAAGACGGGAAGUAUAUCCUAAAUGUCUUGUAGCCUCUCGAAGAUAGGUAUGGACAUUAUCAUACCGAUCUACAAGACUCUACUAGACACUUGCUCAUGACUCGUAGAACCUAGAGCUAUGAUACUACCUUGUCACGACCCACAAUCCGACUAGUCGUGAUGGUACCUAACCCAACCCGCUAGGUAAGCCAAUUAACCACAACCAAUUCCAAUAACAUUUUAAUAAAGCAAUUAAGUAAAGAAAUAUCUGAAUCUAAUAUAUUCCCCAAGAACUGGUAGUACAAAUCAUGAGCUUCUAAGAAUAGAAUUUACAAAGCUGAAAUAAAAUAAAUACAUCGUCUGUUUGAAAAGUACAUAAACAGAGUUUUAUAGAUCUAAAGCUACCAUGAACAAGGAGCAGCAACAACCGAGAUGCAAGUACAUCUUCAAAUCCGGCUCCCAUUGAACACAACAACAUCAACAGCCAACAUCUGCACAUAAGGUGCAGAAGUGUAGUAUGAGUAUAACCAACCCCAUGUACUCAAUAAGUAGUAAACCUAACCUUAGGUUGAAAGUAGUGACGAGCUAACACAAAGGCCGGGUCCAACACCAGUAUUUCCACCACAGUUCAUAACAACAUAGUACAAGUAAUAAAAGAGGUAUCUCAGAAAUAAAAUGCUUAGUUCAUUCACAGUUCCAGAAAAUAGGCAUUUCUUUUCAAGUAUCUUAGUGAAAACCGACCGCAUGUACUCAAUAAGUAACAAACCUAACCUUAGGUUGAAAGUAGUGACGAGCUAACACAAAGGUCGGGUCCAACACCAAUAUUUCCACCACAGUUCAUAACAACAUAGUACAAGUAAUAAAAGAGGUAUCUCGGAAAUAAAAUGCUUAGUUCAUUCACAAUUCCAGAAAAUAGGCAUUUCUUUUAAAAUAUCUCAGUGAAAACCCAAAUCUUUUACCGAAAAUGCCAAAAUAUGAGUAAGUUUGAAAACUUUGAUUUUUACCAAACCUCCUUUCAAUAAUAAGUAAGAUGUUUCAUUUUCAGAUAGCAUGAGGAAAGUACGUCUCUAUGCCUACAUGUCAAUAUACAGGUAAAAUCAUAAAUGUCACCAACACUAGGUAGUAGAAGGAAAUGCAUCCCUAUGCAUGUAUCAAGUACGCAUGUCAAAUGUAAUGCAUCUCAAUGAUGAGCUUAUGUACUCACACUCUCAGAGUACUCAAUCUCACUAUCUCGCAUUCUCUCUCACUAUGCUCAAUACUCAGCACACUCAAUCACUAAGCGAUGUUCAAUACCUGAUGCGACGUGCAGCCCGGUCCAUAUAUGACCAUAAGGCCUGUUGCGGUAUGCAACCCGAUCCACAUAUAUAUAGUCGACUGCGCUCACCGGGGGUGUGCAGACUCCGGAGGGGCUCCUAUAGCCCAAGCACUAUAAUCCGCACGGACAACCCACGUGUUGCACAGACAACUCACUUGUCAUAAUAUCAAUUUUUGGAUCCGCACGGACAACUCACAUGCUAUAGUAUCAAUAUCUGGAUCCGCACGGACAACUCACGUGCUAUAGUAUCAAUAUCUUCACAAACUGGUCCCCGGCCUCACUCAGUUAUCAAUCUCUCCAGUCUUACUCACGGGCUCACAAUGUCAUGAAACUAGCCUGACAACAAUGAUAUGAUGUAUCAAUAAAUAAUAACUAAGAGUGAGAUAUGAUAUAAAUGCAUGAAUAUGACUGAGUACAAAAUAUCAAUGAAAUCAGUGAGAUGACAGCAAGAAACGACCACUAUGGGUCCUAACAAUAUCAGCAUAAAGCCUAAACAUGAUAUUUAGCAUGAUUGAAAGCUCAAUUAUUUUAUCACAGGGUGAUAACACAUAUAUCAACCAAAAUAGGGCCACUAUACAGUGCCGUGGAAACAACGGAGUCACAAUUCACAGGGUGCACGCCCACACGCCUGUCACCUAGCAUGUGCGUCACCUCAAUACCAAUCACAUAACACGUAAUUCGGGGUUUCGUACCCUCAACACUAAGAUUAUAAGAGUUAUUUAUCUCGAACAAGCCAAUUCAAAUACCGAGCAAGCCAAGCGAUACUCCUAAAUUCCAUCCCGCGUGUUCCGACCUCCGAACGGCUCGAAAAUAACCAAAACAACUCAAAUACAUCAAACAAUGCUAAAGGAACCAAUUCCGAUAAAAAAAGAUCAAAUCUUGAAUCAAAAGCCCAAAAUCGGCCAAAAUCCCAACUCGGGCCUGCACCUCGGAACCUGACAAAAUUUACAAAAUUCAACAACACAUUCAAUUACGAUUCCAACCAUACUAGUUUCACUCAAAUCCGACUCCAAUUCAAUGUUCAAAACUCAAAAAUUCAUAUUAUGAAACUUUAGGCCAAAACCCUAAAUUUCCUCUUUAAAAUUCACAAUCCAACUACAACAAACGAAGGUAGAUUCAUCAAAUAUAGCAAAAAACUGAGUAGAGAACACUUACCCCAAUCCUUGGGAUGAAAACUACUCCAACAAUCGCCUCAAUCUGAGUCCCACAUCUCAAAAUAUGAAGAAAGAACCAAAACCUCGAUUUAUAGCUUCUGCCAGCAUUUUCGCACUUACGACACAUUAGCCGUUUCUAUGGCGUCGCUUCUGCGAAAUAACCUCUGCUUCUGAAGAAUCAGUUGAGGACUCGACCCUCGCACCUGCGUACAACAUAUCCGCUUAUGUGACAUGGCAGGUGCGAGUCAGCAUCCGCACCUGCGAAAUACCUCGCUCCUGCGCUCCAUCACCUCGCACUUGCGCAUCCGCAUAUGCGCCCAAAUCUCCGCUUCUGCUGUCUUCGUCACCCAGCACUAUUUACGCUCUUGCGACCCCUUAGUCGCUUCUGCAACCAUCGCACCUGCACAAACCAGCUGCAGGUGCGGUCACACCAGAACUAGCAAUAGCAACAUGAAGUAAAAUGAUCCGAACCUCGUCCAAAAUUCAUCCGAGCCACUCGGGACCCCGUCCGAAUAUACCAACAAGUCCAAUAACAUAACACGAACCUACUCGAGGCCUCAAAUCACGCAUAACAAUAUCGAAAUGACGAAUCGCACCUCAAAUCGAAAUCUAUGAACUUUGAGCUUUCAAAUUCAAUAACUCAUGCCGAAACAUAGCAAAUCAAUCCGGAAUGACUUCACAUUUUGCGCACAAGUCCCAAAUAACAUAACGAAUCUAUUCCAAUUCCCGGAAUCACAAUAUGAAUCUGAUAACAAAAAGUCCACUCCCGGUCAAACUUUCCAAAAUUUUAACUUUCUCCAUUUCAAGCCAAAUUCCACUACUGACCUCCAAAUCACAAUCCGGACGCCCUUCUAAGUCCAAAAUCACCCAGCGGACCUAUCGGAACCAUCAAAAUUUCAAUCCGAGGUCAAAUGCUAAAAAGUCAAACUUGGUCAACUCUUUCAAAUAUAAAGCUCCCUAGUUGAGAAUCAUUCUUCUAAAUCAAUCCUGAAUAACCUGAAAAUCAAAACCGACGAUUCACACAAUUCAAAAUACCUCAUACGGAGCUACUCACGCCUAUAAACUACUGAGAGAUGUGCAAAUGCUCAAAACGACUGGUGGGUUCGUUACAUCCUCCCCCACUUAAACAUGCGUUCGUCCUCGAACAUGCCAAGAGUUGUUCCAAAAGCCAUCAAAGCGUCGUGUAACCUUACCAUGCAUAUACCCGGGGGUGACCCCACAUCACCCUAUCCCAUAUAGGUCUGAUAACACCACAUAACUAUAAUGUCUUAAUUCAACCUAGCCCACAAGCCUUAGAAUCCAAUUUCUAACAUCCAAAAUUUCUUAUAGAUCUGAAUCGCGCAACCUACACACUAUAUAAGUAUGAACAAGCUGUACUAAAAUCCGUNNNNNNNNNNNNNNNNNNNNNNNNUGCCGGUAAUAAACCUCAUAUCAAACAAGACUCCAUUCUAAAAUCUUUGUACACUACCGAUGAUGAAAGAAACACGCAGAAACUCGUAACCAUUCAUCAGAUCCACAAGUCAUGGAGCUCCCUCUCCUUCGACAAGAAACAUAGCAAAUUUCUAAGCCGAAUUUAGAUAUUAUCCUUCCAAAUUUACCACAAUCAAAUCUGAUAACACCCAUCGUAGAUCCGACGACUUCAUCUUAUCAAAUACUAGCUACUCUACUGACAUGCCACACCAAUACUAACUAAAGCCACAACCCGUGCAAUCUGUGCACCAAUAAGCAACAUUCCAGAUGUACUCAAUCACGAAAAUGACUCAAAUAAGAGAAUCGUCCUGCAAGCUCGACGGGUACCACCCGACGCAAUGCUAAGAACCCAUCACACACCGUAAAACCAUAACACACGAAUCUAACACCAAGGAUCAUAUCUCAACAUAACUCUACCGCAAUGCGCGACCCCAUCCAAACACUGAUCCAUAUGAAAUACCUCAGCCACCAUGCUCAAAAUCAAUAACCACGCGCAAUCCGACAUCAAGUACUCAAAGUACAUUACCAUAACCACGGAGAAGCAGACGACACAAUGCCACGCAAAACCCGAAAGAACAUAACUCAUACGCCAUCAACCAUGCAAUACCCAAUUACUCAUCUCGCUCAAAUUCUACUAUAAAGCCCAAAUAGAACCGCACCAGGUGUGCUUAUGACCAACGAAUCACAACUCCUCAUAGCAUAAAAGAGUAACUCAUAGAUCAUUUCAGGACACGAAUAAGCUUAGCAACAACUGAAUGACACAUCACUCAAUAAUAGCAUUAUGGAACCAACCAAUCCAACUCGGUGUAGAAUACACAUCCUAAUUGGGACUACCAACGGACCCUAAAAUCAACUCUAGGCACCCACAAAUAGAUAAAUAAACCCAUGAAAGACUACAAUUGACUGAAUCAUAAAACAUUUUAUCAUCUGGCUAGAUUCGGCCACGACUUCACAGUCCACAACUAUGAAACAGUCUGCUCCUGAGAACUCCCAGUCUCCAAAUCCAUAGAACACACGAAUCACCAUUUCUGAUUCCAUCUCCACCUCCCGAAUGUCUAACACAUCUCUCAUACACGAUCAUCCUACGAGGAAUACUUCUAAAAUUCUUCCGUGACAUAUGGAAAAAUUUGACUGUCAGCAGUCGAUCAACCGGAAGAGUGUCGCAGUACCAGUGAAGUAUUCAUACAUCAAAACACAUUGCCCCUUCUGAAAUGUAUACUCUCAUCAAGCCAUACCAAAUAGUAAUAUCUUACCUAGUCAUCUGAAACCGUCCAUGUUGCCUAUGAAUUUUAUGACCUUCCUUUCCAAACAGAACUGUGAUCCCACUCACGCAAAUCACAAUCCCACACUACACACCGCAUAUACCAUGCCAUCAUAUGAAAAAAACUAUGGGGACUUCAUAAUCCACUCCGAGUAACAAGCAAUUACAUAUUCAAUUAGCUAAGGACCUUCCAUUUGAUUCCAUCCAGGAGAAAAUCACUAUGCACCAUAUGCUCCUCAUGCCAAUAGGAAAUAUACUCCUUGAACCGUGGUAGAAACCAUUGAGAGCCCUUCGAAGUCCAUUUGCACAUAACCAAGCUAUCAGAACUGAAUCUCUCUGACUCAACCCAGCCACGCAGGUCGCCAAAACCCAAAAGCAUUGCCACAAGUGGAGACUAGCCACAUCAUAAGUACCCAAAGAACCGAUCAUAUCUAUCACUGUGUUGAUCCAACCUACUACCAUGCUAUCCUAUUUCUCCAAGUCCCUUCCAAAUUGCCUUCAAAUUGAUACUUCUCCUUGCUGGAACACCACGGUCCUGAACCAAAAUUUACCACACUAGAGACCCUAGUAUAAAAUCACAACGCCCUAAGGCCCAUAAGUCGCUGACUUCCCUCUUAAGCACCCCAAGGCCCCACAAUUGAGACACCCAGUCUAAAGAGACCUUAUGUGAACCUAAAACAGUUUCCUUCACCUUCUUGAUACUGAAAUGCGCAAUCCACAAUGAUAUAAAAUGCCACAAGUCUUGACACCGUUCAAUGCAACUCCCAGUUAUAGCCAUAUACAAAUCUUGAUACUUCCCAAUUGCUACAUAUAAUUCCUGAAUCCAUUAGAACCAUUCUCGAGAGUCAUCCACUAUGCUCAAAUCUCAAUUGCACUGCCCCAAAUGGGCCAAACGACUGGUGCCCCAUUGGCACGAUGACACCCAAAGGAGUAACCCCACCUUAAUGCGACCAAGCAAAUUCCUACUCCAUACACACUACAUCUUUCAUGAAUAACCACUCAAUCAUUUCAUGAUUCACAUAUACCCAUAGAGUGUAAUACAACCCGUAUCUAGAAAUCCCUUUACCCGAGUCAUCCUCAAUCUCGACCUCUGCAAGUCAUAACUGAUUCACCAGUAUACCCCGAACCGAAACCAAUACAACACAUAACCAUGUAAUCAACUCGUCGAUAGCAAACUCCCCCACUUGACUCAAAGCCAUGGGAUAAAGCAUCUGAUUACUUACAAUAACCAUAUCCCAUUAUUACCAUAAUACCACAGUGAGAUUCCAUUAAAUCCUUCAGAAAGAACAGCUCACUCAUCUCAUGAUUUUUCUAUACUCCUAAAGUGCCAUAAAUUUAAACACCCGAUAACUCACAAUGCCCAUACUCUAGUACUACCACAAUACCAUAGUGAAAUUCAACUGAAUCCUCCAUAAGCUCACGUACACAACCCACAUAGUACCUCUUCGCAUUUACCCUAGUAACAGCCAAGUCAACUCCCAUAAGCGAUCCAACCUCAAAUUGUAACACAUAUAAUUCACUGGCAAAAGGGAACUCUCUACAAUAUAACAUAGGGAUCACACAACCUCAGGACAACCCACAGGGGAUAACCCAUGCUUUGCCCCAAACUAACAUCUCUUUACACCCUUCCAGAGUCACGACUACUACACAAUAACUUAAUCUUCUCGAUUCUGAACUCAUUAACAAGCCAUGAGAAUCUACUUCACUCCACAACUUAACUACAUGAGAGAUCCCUCAAUACACCCAUAACGCGAGACCAUACACCAAAUCAAGACAGAAAUCAGACACCCCAGAGUCCCUUCUACAUCACAUUCGACUAAUAGGUACACUACCAUACAUGAGAGAUCCCUCUUCUCGUCAUAUUCGAACAAUCUAAACACAUCCUGCAGUCACAUCAUACUCACCACAUAGUCAUCCAAUCAUAAAUUCCACUAAUAGGGACACUACCGUACAUAUAAGUCCCAAAGGCACGUGCUCACACAACCGAAAUCUUCGUGCGCAAGCUACAGUCGAAACCCGGCCUCAAGUCCUCUAGACUGGCCCUUCAUCAGCAUGCCAAAAUCACAUCUCGCACCUCAACCAUGGAACCACAAGCUGCCGGCACGCAGCCAAUACCGAGCACUCACAGGGGCAUACGAAUGCGUGGAAGGAAUUCAAAAGAGUUACGCUUCAAGUUGAAUCAAUGUUGCACGAUAAGGAAAGAAAGAUGGGAAGUAUAUCCUAAAUGUCCUGUAGCCUCUCGAAGAUAGGUAUGGACGUCAUCAUACCGAUCUACAAGACUCUACUAGACACUUGUUCAUGACUCGUAGAACCUAUAAACCUAGAGCUCUGAUACCACCUUGUCACGACCCAAAAUUCGACUAGUCGUGAUGGCACCUAACCCAACCCGCUAGGUAAGCCAAUUAACCACAACCAAUUCCAAUAACAAUUUAAUAAAGCAAUUAAGUAAAGAAAUAUAUGAAUCUAAUAUAUUCCCCAAGAGCUGGUAGUACAAAUCAUGAGCUUCUAAGAAUAGAAAUUACAAAGCUGAAAUGAAAUAAAUACAUCAUCUAUUUGAAAAGUACAUAAACAUAGUUUUAUAGAUCUAAAUCUACCAUGAACAAGGGGCAGCUACAACCGGGAUGUAGGUAUAUCUUCAAAUCCGGCUCCUAUCGAACACAACAUCAGCAGCCAAUAUCUACACAUAAGAUGUAGAAGUGUAGUAUGAGUACAACCGACCCCAUGUACUCAAUAAGUAACAAACCUAACCUUAGGUUGAAAGUAGUGACGAGCUAACACGAAGGUCGGAUUCAACACCAAUAUUUCCACCACAGUUCAUAACAAUAUAGUACAAGUAAUAAAAGAGAUAUCUCAGAAAUAAAAUGAUCAGAUCGUUCACAGUUCCAGAAAAAUAGGCAUUUCUUUUCAAGUAUCUUAGUGAAAACCCAAAUCUUUUACCGAAAAUGUCAAAAUUCGAGUAAGCGUAAAAACUGUGAUUUUUCCCAAAACUCCUUUCAAUAAUAAGUAAGAUGUUUCAUUUUCAAAUAGCAUGAGGAAAUUACGUGUUUACACCUACAUGUCAAGAAAUAGGUAAAAUCAUAAAUGUUACCUACACCGGGUAGUAGAAGGAAAUGCAUCUUUAUGCAUGUAUCUCAAGUACGCAUGUCAAAUGCAAUACAUAUCAAUGAUGAGCUCAUGUACUCACACUCUCAGAGUACUCAAUCUCACUGUCUCGCAUUCUCUCUCACUAUGCUCAAUGCUCAGCACACUCAAUCACUCAGCAUUGUACAAUACCUGUUGCGGCAUGCAGCCCGAUUCAUAUAUGACCAUAAGGCCCGUUGCGGCAUGCAACUCGAUCCACAUAUAUAUAGUCGACUGUGCUAACUGGGGGUGUGCAGACUCCGGAGGGGCUCUUACAGACCAAGUGCUAUGAUUCGCAUGGACAACUCACGUGCUGCACAGACAACUCACAUGACAUAAUAUAAAUAUCUGGAUCCACACGGAUAACUCACGUGCUAUAGUAUCAAUAUCUAGAUCCGCACGGACAACUCACGUGCUAUAGUAUCGAUAUCUUCACAAACAGGCCCCCGGCCUCACUCAGUCAUCAAUCUUUCCAGUCUCACUCACGGGCUCACAAUGUCAUGAAACUAGCCCGACAACAAUGAUAUGAUGUAUCAAUAAAUAACGACUGAGAUAUGAUAUGAAUGCAUGAAUAUGACUGAGUGUAAAAUAUCAAUGAAAUCAGUGAGAUGACUGCAAGAAACGAUCACUAUGGGUCCUAGCAAUAUCAGCAUAAAGCCUAAAUAUGAUAUUUAUUAUGAUUGACAGCUCAGUUAUUUUAUCACAUAGUGAUAACACAGAUAUCAACAAAAAUAGGGCCAUUAUACAGUGCCAUAGAAAUAACGGAGUCACAAUUCACAGGGUGCACGCCCACACGCUCGUCACCUAGCAUGUGCAUCACCUCAAUACCAAUCACAUAACACGUAAUUCGGGGUUUCGUACCCUCAGCAGUAAGAUUAGAAGAGUGACUUACCUCGAACAAGCCAAUUCCAACACUGAGCAAGCCAAGCGAUGCUCCAAAAUGCCAUCCCGCGUGUUCCGACCUCCGAACUGCUCGAAACUAACCAAAAAUAACUCAAAUACAUCAAAUAAUGCUAAAGGAACCAAUCUCGGUCGAAUAAGAUCAAAUCUUGAAUCAAAAGACCAAAAUCGGCCAAAAGUCCAACCCGGGCCCGUACCUCAAAACCCGAUAAAAUUUAUAACAUUCAACAACCUAUUCAAUUACGAGUCCAACCAUACUAGUUUCACUCAAAUCCGACUCCAAUUCGCGGCUCAAAACUCAAAAAUUUAUAUUAUGAAACUUUAGGCCAAAACCCCCAAUUUCCUCUUUAAAAUUCACAAUCCAAUUACCCAAAACGAAAGUAGAUUCAUGAAAUAUAGCCAAAAACUGAGUAGAGAAUACUUACCCCAAUCCUUAUGAUGAAAAUUGCUCCAACAAUCGCCUCAAUCCGAGUCCCACAUCACAAAAUAUGAAGAAAGAACCAAAACCUCGAUUUAUAGCUUCUGUCAGCAUUUUCGCACCUGCGACACAUUAGCCGCUUCUGCGGUGUUGCUUCUGUGACAUAACCUCCGCUUCUGUAGAAUCAGUUGAGGACUCGACCCUCGCACCUGCGGACAACAUAUAUGCUUCUGCGACAUCACAGGUGCGAGCCACCAUCCGCACUUGCGAAAUAUCUCGCUCAUGCGCUCCAUCACCUCGCACCUGCGCAUCUGCAUAUGCGCCCAAAUCUCCGCUUCUGCGGUCUUCCUCACCCAGCACUAUUUUCGAUCCUGCGACCCCUUUGUCACUUUUGCGACCAUCGCACCUGCACAAACCAGCUGCAGGUGUGGUCACACCAGAACCAGCAACAACAACAUGAAGUAAAAUGAUCUGAACCUCGUCCAAAACUCAUCCGAGCCACUCGAGACCCCGUCCUAAUAUAUCAACAAGUUCAAUAACAUAACACGGACCUACUCGAGGCUUCAAAUCACGCAUAACAAUAUCGAAAUGAAGAAUCGCACCUCAAAUCAAAAUCUAUAAAUUUUGAACUUUCAAAUUCAAUAACUCGUACCGAAACAUAGCAAAUCAAUCCGGAAUGACUUCAAAUUUUGCGCACAAGUCCCAAAUAACAUAACGAAACUAUUCCAAUUUCCAAAAUCACAAUCCGAAUCCGAUAUCAAAAAGUCCACUCUCGGUCAAACAUUUAAAAAAUUUAACUUUCGCCAUUUCAAGUCAAAUUCCAUUACAGACCUCCAAAUCAUAAUCCGGACGCGCUUUUAAGCCCAAAAUCACCCAACGGACCUACCGGAACCAUCAAAAUUCCAAUCUGAGGUCAAAUGCUAAAUACUCAAACUUGGUCAACUCUUUCAAAUUUAAAGCUCCCUAGUUGAGAAUCAUUCUUCUAAAUUAGUCUCGAAUAACCUGAAAACCAAAACCGACGAUUCACACAAGUCAAAAUACAUCAUACAGAGCUACUCAAGCCUGUAAACUACCGAGCGAUGUGCAAAUGCUCAAAACGACCAGUCGGGUCGUUACAUCCAAUAUGGGAGAGUUUCUUCCUCCGAUGGCAUGAUUGGCUGGCCUUGCUCAUCGGUCGGUUGACUCCUAGUGAGCUCUUCCAAUGCUUGUUUAUACCGAUUCUACAUUAAAAAUGAAAUUUAGUAUAUAAACAAUUAUUAUAAAUAAAAUUUUAAGUUAAUCUUGAUCUUACAUAAGUCUUCUCAGCCUGUGGCUCAACUCAUGCUUCUUCCCCGACUUCUUCUUCCAAACCUCAUCACGUUUCAUGGGUCUCUUAAGAACAACUUCCUGCAAAUGAAACAAAAAGAGUUAAUAAAUUCAAGUAAUGUUAGAAAAAUUCAAGACUGAGAUCUUUAAAUAAUUACCAAUCUCCUCUUAAUUCAUUAUGGAUAACAUGAAUUAAAACAAAAAGUCUUUAACAAAAUCAUAAAGGAGCAUGCCAAGAAAGCACGUGCAUGUGCAUACAUAUGCCUAAUCUCAACAAAGCGAUCAACUUUUAAACAGAGGGCAAAAGCAUCAACUUUUAAGACUAUUGUUAGAAAGAAACAAAAUUUUAAGACUUGGAAAAAAGGCUCCCAAUUAAUUUUUCAAAUCAACACAUAUUCAAUUUCAUCAUGAAGCUCAGAGCUCUUAUUUUUGCGGAGUUGUUUAGCAAAUUGAGACAAAUUUAAUGAACCCCAAAACCUUCCCAAAACAGUCCCUAAACACACCUGAAAUUCUGCCUCAAAUUUUAGUAAAAAAUGCCCAAAAACACAGCUGAAAAAACAGUUUCAAACCACCCAAAAACGACCUCAAACUACCCUCAAAACUAGCUCUCUUCCAAUUUAAAACAACCCCAGAAACUCGGCUUACAAUCCAAAGUCAACCAUGAAAAAUGCAUCUCUAAAAUCAGUUAGAGAGGUCGAAGAAAAAGAAAACUUACCGGAGAUAGAGUGGAUCCUGAGCGCCGACGAUUGCCGCUUGGAUUGCCGCCGCCGACGACAACGAUGGCCGCUUGAAUUGAGUGCCGACGACGCCGGUGAAACUUGGGGAUUCGCCGUAGGAGCAGUGAGGCGGAGAAAGAGAAAAGAGGAAAAUGGCUAAAUUAGGUGUUUUGCAUGACAUAACAUUGCCUAAGGAAACUUAUUUUUAAAAAUAAUUGUGUAACUUAAUGAUUAAAUUCUAAAAUAAUUUUCUCACUUAUAAAUAUUAUACUGUAUUAAAAAAAUCACAAUUCACAAGUAAUAAAAUUCUAACUAACAAAUUACCAUGAAUCAAUAUCAAACUUAUAAUUAUUUAGAAUCUAACACGUAAUUAUAUAAACUAAAAUUAAUGACCCAUAAUUUUGGUGUAAUUAUUAAUUUAUAAGCUAAUUAAUUAUCACUGAUACACUUUUACGUAAUGUAAUUAUCAAUUUACAAUCUAAUCGAACCCAACAUUAGUUAAGGAUACUACUAAUGCACUUAUACUUAGUGUAAUGCCAAUCUAUAAGUUAAUUACAACUAAUACACUUACUAAUUACAAAUAAUACACGUCUACUUAGUGUAUUAUCAAUGUAUAUGCUAAUUAAUUAAUAACAUUAGUUAAGCAUACCACUACUACACUUCUACUUACGGUAAUUAUCAACUUGUAAGAUAAACAAUCACUAAUAUUUCUUGUCGAUACCAUUAAUACACUUAUAUUAGAGUGUAAUUAGUAAUGAAUAGGCUAAUCAAUAACUAAUAUUACUUAAGGAUACCACAAAUUUAUUUCUACUUAGAGUAAUUAUCAAUUUAUAAGCUAAUUACCACUACUAUAUUAUUAUUUAGUAUAAUUAUUACAAAUACAAUUUCACUUAGUGAAAUUAUCAAUGAUUAUUCUAAACUGCAAAAUAAUCUUAAGGAUAUUUCUAUGAAAUACACAUCUAGGUAGUGUGAUUAUCAAUUUACAAUAAAUCAUCAGCUAAUCCACUUGUACUUAGUGUAAUUAUUAAUGUAUAAGCUAAUUAUCACUAAUACACUUCUAUGUAAUGUAAUUAUCAAUUUAUAGUAUAAUCGAUCCUAACAUUAAUUACUCUCAUACUUAUUUAGAAAAGUAUUUACAAAAUACCCAACCUGAUAUGUACGUUAAAAACCAUUGAAGUAUAUAAUCCACAUGUUAUAUGCCUUAAGGGGUCAUUUGGUUACGAUAAGAAUACUAAUUACGUGAUAGAAUAUGAAAUUGUAUGUAUCCCAUAUAUUUGAUUAUGGAUAUUAAUUAAUAGUAGGAUAAAUUUUAGUUAUCCCUUAUAGGACUUGCAUAUAUAUCCAUUUUUGAUGUCACCGUUGAAUUUAUACCCACAUUACAUAAAACUUUGCAAAGUGUGCCUUCACGAAUCUGACGUAGUUCAAUCUUUUCAAUGCAACUUCAGAAAUCAAAUCUGAAGUUCUCCAAUCUUUCAACUACAACUUCAGAAAUUCAAAUCUUAAGUAGUUCAAGCUCUUCACAACAACUUCAAAUUUCGAAUAUGAAGUUCUUCUAUCUUUCAAUUGCAACUUCAGAGAUUCAAAUCUUAAGUAGUUCAAUUUUUCAAUACAACUUCAGAUUCAAAAUCUGAAAUCUUAAGUUGUUCAAUUUUUCAAUACACCUUCAGACAACUUCAGAUUCAAAAUCUGAAGUUCUGAAACAUACGAACCUACCAUAAUCGUCAAAACACAGAUCCGAUGUCGUUUAUCAAAAAGAUUGACUGUGGUCAACUCUAUCCUUAGUUUAAGUCAAAAAUCACAUUUUCUUCAAAAUUUUACAUAAAAGCUUUUUGAAAAGCGACAUGGACCACACACGUAAAUCAAUAAACAUAAAAAAAAAAUCGAUGAGAGGUUUCGAAAUAUAAAAAUUAAGGCUAGUACUUAAAACGACCUAUCAGGUCAUCACAACAGUCUACUCUUGAUGUAAUGGUUGGGUUAUGAUAAGUUUGCGCUCGAAUUGAUUGUUGUAUUGCAUUAAAAAGUGCUUAGGAGGGUUAGUCACUCUUACCAAAUGUAUCCUACCCGUUCCUUAUUCUAUACAGUCCAUAAAGUCCUAAUUGAUCCUAGUUUUAGCAAGCUUAGAUUAGUCGAGUCCUACACUACGGGCAAGCUUAUGGUACGAACUUGGGAUGCGCAUGCAUAUCUUUUUGAGAGCGAGUAAAUUCUUGUUCUUGUGUGUGGAGUACUUGAAUUACAUUUGAUCUCUUGAAUUGAGUGUGUAAAUUAUUUUUCUCUUGUUUUAUAGUGAGGGCACGUGAUCUCAAAAUGGAUAGGUGAAUUUAUUAAAUUUCUCUUAUUGGGGUAAGGUGUAAGCCGAGAGUGCUUAGUGGCAACGAGUCAGUCUUUAAGGUGAGGUGAUUAUGGGUAGGCUGUUUGAAGCUUUAAAUUUUUUUAACCUUGGGCAUGUAGAAGUUGAGAAGUGUGUAAAAUGUGUAUGUACAUGCUUAAUUGUUUGUAUCAACCAUAGUCAUAGGUAUAGUGUGCUUAAUGGUUAUAUGAUCCCUCAUGAUGUGAUCUCUUGAGUUGUGUGGUUGAAGUAGUAAAGUUUUGGUUGCUCGAGGACAAGCAAGGGUUUAAGUGUGUGGUGGUGAUGUUGGGCGUAUUUUUAUAUGUUUUGAUAUUAUUUACUCUAUAUUUUUACCGCUUUUUGAUGUAUUUUAUAUUGUAUAUGCCCAACUUAGCUUGAGUAUUGAGCUUUAUAAUUAUUUGGGUGUUAAUUGAUAAUGUAGGUAUAUUAGAGAGAAAAAGAUGGAAUUUUGGAGCAAAAAUAAUAAUUUUUCAAUCAUCAUGAUUACUUGGUUAGUAAUCAUUACAUUAUGAUUGGUUGGUUUAUAAAUUUAGUAAUUGAAAGUUAGGCAGCAAGCAAGGAUUUGAGCGUGAAAAGCUCACUGGUUCCAGCGCUGGGCUAGUGCCUCGCUCGCGACCCUCCCUUGCGGAAUUUUUUCUAUUUCAUUCGGAAUAAGGUUAUUUUGGCUACAUGAUCCCAACUCAUAUAAAAGAGAUCAUAAAUCCAAUUUGAAGGAUAUCUAACAUAUUUUGAAGGAACAUUUACGUACGAGAACACAAAUCACGUUUGGAGGAGGCUUCCAACUAGUUUUCUUCUCUUCUUUUCGUUCAUUCCCAUAGUUUAUUAGUUCAAGGGUUGUGGGUGCUACAUGAACAUUGUAGUUUGAAACUUGGAUUGUUCUUAUUAUUUUAUCAUAUUAGUUUAUUUAUUCAAUCUUGUGCUUAACUAUUUGAUUGCUUGAUCUAUCUACGAAUCUAGGAUUGAACUCGAGAGAGGGAAUUCUAGAUUGCAUAUAGGAUUGGAUAGAGCAAGAUCUUGAACCUGGGCAUUGGAGAAUGGGUUCGUGGUUAGGAUAGGGAUAUACUAAAUCACCUUGCUUGGUUAUUAUACGGGAAUUAUUAAUGCGUUUGUGAUGACCCGAUAAGUCAUCUCGUAUUUUGAAACCUAAUUCUGAGAUCUGAAGCCUUAAAAAUCAUGAUUUAGCCUUCCUAAAUUUGUGUGCGCAGUCCGGACGUCUUUCCGAAAAGUUUUUAUGUUAAAAACUGAUAAAAAUAAGGAAUUUUACCUAAAAACUUCAUUUGAGUUGAUUUCGGUCAACGUUUUUGGUAAACGGACCCAAAUUUAUGUUUUGACGGUCCCGGUAGGUCCGUACCGUGAUUUGAGACUUGGGCGUAUGCUCGGAAUCGAAUUUAGAAGUCCCUAACUCGAGAUAUCGGACUUUAUCGAAAUUUGAAAGUUAAAAGCUUAUUGAAUUUGAAAUGUUUGACCAAAAUUUAACUUUUUGGAUAACAGAUCCGUAUUUUGGUUCCGCAACUCGGUAUAGGUCCAAUACCACAUUUAUGACUUGUUUGUGAAAUUUGGUGAGAAACGGAGUUGGUUUGACGUGAUUCGGACGUUCGGUUGUGAAAAUAAAAUUUCAAAGCUUUCUUGAAAAAUCUCACUUGAUUUGGUGUUUAAUUCGUAGUUGUAGGUGUUAUUUUGGUGAUUUAAUCGAGCGAGCAAGUUUGUAUGAUAUUUUUAGACUAGUGUGCACUUUUGGUUUAGAGCCCCGAGGGCUCGGGUGAGUUUCAGAUAGGCUUCAGAGUGAAUUUGGACUUGGUAAAAUUUGCUGGUGUAACUGAUCUUGUUGUAGGCUUUUGAUCUCGCAUUUGCAAGAUCAGGCAUCUCAUUUGCGACCUCUGAGGGGUUCACAUUUGCGAAGCUUCUCGCAAAUGCGAAGAGAAGCUGGGCCACGCAGGUUUCACAUUUGCGAAAUAACCUUUACAUUUGCGAAGUGGGUUUGGGGAAGGCAUCCUUCGCAUUUGUGACGAUAGUGUCUCAUUUGUGGUCAUCCAGAGUUCGCAUUUGCGAACAAUUCUUUGCAAUUGUGAAGACAACAAAGGUGUGAAGGACUUCGCAUUUGCGAAACCCAAAUCGCAAAUGCGACAUCUGUAGCUGAUGAAAUAGGACUUAGACGGGAGUUUUGGUUCAUUUCCCAUAUUUUCAAACCUAGAAGCACAAGAGGCGAUUUUUCCAAAGAACAUUUCUUCCCCAAAUCAUUGGUAAGCGAUCUUAAGCUAAUUUCUUUAAAUCUUUCAAUACUUUUCCUAAGAUUGCAACCUAAAAAUUUAAGAUUUUCAUGGUGGAAUUGGGUUUUUUUUGGGUAGAAACUAGGGAUUUGAUAAAUUGGGGAUUUAGACCUCAUAUUGAGGUCGGAUUUCAAAACCAGUUAUAUAACCGGGCUCGGGGGUGAAUGGGUAAUCGGGUUUUGGUCCGAAUUUUGGGUUUGGACCAAGCGGGCCCGGGUGUUGACUUUUGUUGACUUUUAAAAAAAAAAAGGCCUAAAUUGAAUUCUUUACAAUUGUAGAAAGUUCCUAAGGCUUAAAUUGAAUUUUUUGGUUGGUAAUUUGCUAGAUUCUAUCGGUUCGGAGGCUUGUCGGAAAGGAAAAGAUGUGAUUAAGGUUUGAGUUUGGCCGUUGGAGCGAGGUAAGUGUCGUGGUUAACCUUGACUUGAGGGAUUAGGACUUAUUUGUCUAUUUGCUACGUGUUUAGAUAUUGGGUACCACGUAUAGGUGAGGUGAUGAGUACCUAUGCCUUGUUGUCGGGUUAUAGCAUGCGGGUGGGUCUUAUUCUUAUAAUUGUUGCUUUCCUUGAUCAUGUUAUUCAUGCUUAGACGAGUUAAUUGUGAUGUUGAUCAUUCUUAUCAUGUUUACAGACUUUGGUAUUUAUUGAGUGUUGAUUCGAGUUGAGGUUGGUAUUGCGGAACCAUAUGUUGAAGUAAGAUCUGAUCUUGUUGUUUCUAUCUCCCUGCUGUUAUUGUUCAUUAUUUUGGUGAGGGAGAGUGUUAAUGCACGAAGGGUGAUGCCGUGCCGUUUCUAUUGACUGUGAGGUUGAGAGUGUUAAUGCACGAAAGGGUGAUGUCGUGCCAUUUUGUGAGUGCAAUGCACGAAGAGUGAUGUCGUGUCAUAUUGUGAGUGUAAUGCACGAAGGGAGAUAUCGUGCCAUGUUAUGAGAGUUAAUGCACGAAAGGUGAUGUCGUGCCAUUUCUAUUAAUUUCAUUAUGAGGAUGAGAGUAAAAGUAUGAAGGGUGAUGCCGUGCACUUUUCCUUUGCUGUGUUCAUUGGUUCAUAGUGUAUCUACUGUUCAAGUUAUCCUUCUGAUGUAGCUCUUUACCUCGUAUUACCCCUCAGCAUAUUUUUUCCUCCCGAUAUUACUUGUUUAGUUCUUUACUGUUAUUUGCAUAUACACUGCUAUAUUGUACAGGUUUGAUUGUAGGUGUCUUGUCUUAGCCUCGUCACUACUUCGUCGAGGUUAGGCUCGACACUUACGAGUGCAUGGGAUCGGUUGUACUAAUACUGCACUCUGCACUUUCUGUGCAGAUUUUUGUACUGGUUCGGGUUGAUCGAGAGUUUAGCUGUUGGACCCGCUAUCCGGAGACUUAAGGUAGAUCUGUCGGUGUUCACAGACCUUGAAGUCCAUGUCUAUCUUUUCUAUUUUACUGUUUCUUUCAUUCAAACAGUUGUACUUCUCUCAGACUAUUACUUGUAGUAAAUUCUAGAAUGCUCGUGAAUUAUGACACCAGAUCCGGGAAGUGGUAAAUGAUAAAGUUGUUAUAAUAUUCCGCACUCGUUAUAGCUUAAUUACUGUUAAUUAUUGCAAUGUAUAAGAGUUAACUUCAUAAUACUUUAACGUCGGCUUGCCUAG